rnacentral:rRNA from 1 species
CGCACCGCGGGUGCUAUACAUGCAAGUCGAACGCGUUGGCCCAAUUGAUUGAUGGUGCUUGCACCUGAUUGAUUUUGGUCGCCAACGAGUGGCGGACGGGUGAGUAACACGUAGGUAACCUGCCCAGAAGCGGGGGACAACAUUUGGAAACAGAUGCUAAUACCGCAUAACAGCGUUGUUCGCAUGAACAACGCUUAAAAGAUGGCUUCUCGCUAUCACUUCUGGAUGGACCUGCGGUGCAUUAGCUUGUUGGUGGGGUAACGGCCUACCAAGGCGAUGAUGCAUAGCCGAGUUGAGAGACUGAUCGGCCACAAUGGGACUGAGACACGGCCCAUACUCCUACGGGAGGCAGCAGUAGGGAAUCUUCCACAAUGGGCGCAAGCCUGAUGGAGCAACACCGCGUGAGUGAAGAAGGGUUUCGGCUCGUAAAGCUCUGUUGUUAAAGAAGAACACGUAUGAGAGUAACUGUUCAUACGUUGACGGUAUUUAACCAGAAAGUCACGGCUAACUACGUGCCAGCAGCCGCGGUAAUACGUAGGUGGCAAGCGUUAUCCGGAUUUAUUGGGCGUAAAGAGAGUGCAGGCGGUUUUCUAAGUCUGAUGUGAAAGCCUUCGGCUUAACCGGAGAAGUGCAUCGGAAACUGGAUAACUUGAGUGCAGAAGAGGGUAGUGGAACUCCAUGUGUAGCGGUGGAAUGCGUAGAUAUAUGGAAGAACACCAGUGGCGAAGGCGGCUACCUGGUCUGCAACUGACGCUGAGACUCGAAAGCAUGGGUAGCGAACAGGAUUAGAUACCCUGGUAGUCCAUGCCGUAAACGAUGAGUGCUAGGUGUUGGAGGGUUUCCGCCCUUCAGUGCCGGAGCUAACGCAUUAAGCACUCCGCCUGGGGAGUACGACCGCAAGGUUGAAACUCAAAGGAAUUGACGGGGGCCCGCACAAGCGGUGGAGCAUGUGGUUUAAUUCGAAGCUACGCGAAGAACCUUACCAGGUCUUGACAUCUUGCGCCAACCCUAGAGAUAGGGCGUUUCCUUCGGGAACGCAAUGACAGGUGGUGCAUGGUCGUCGUCAGCUCGUGUCGUGAGAUGUUGGGUUAAGUCCCGCAACGAGCGCAACCCUUGUUACUAGUUGCCAGCAUUAAGUUGGGCACUCUAGUGAGACUGCCGGUGACAAACCGGAGGAAGGUGGGGACGACGUCAGAUCAUCAUGCCCCUUAUGACCUGGGCUACACACGUGCUACAAUGGACGGUACAACGAGUCGCGAACUCGCGAGGGCAAGCAAAUCUCUUAAAACCGUUCUCAGUUCGGACUGCAGGCUGCAACUCGCCUGCACGAAGUCGGAAUCGCUAGUAAUCGCGGAUCAGCAUGCCGCGGUGAAUACGUUCCCGGGCCUUGUACACACCGCCCGUCACACCAUGAGAGUUUGUAACACCCAAAGUCGGUGGGGUAACCUUUUAGGAGCCAGCCGCCUAAGGUGACAGAUGC